rnacentral:rRNA from 1 species
GACGUAGGGCGCGAGCGUUGUCCGGAUUUAUUGGACGUAAAGAGCUCGUAGGCGGUUCGUCGCGUCGGCUGUGAAAUCCCGAGGCUCAACCUCGGGUCUGCAGUCGAUACGGGCGGACUGGAGUUCGGCAGGGGAGACUGGAAUUCCUGGUGUAGCGGUGAAAUGCGCAGAUAUCAGGAGGAACACCGAUGGCGAAGGCAGGUCUCUGGGCCGAUACUGACGCUGGAGGAGCGAAAGCCGUGGGGGAGCGAACAGG